rnacentral:rRNA from 1 species
AUUGAACGCUGGCGGCAUGCCUUACACAUGCAAGUCGAACGGUAACAGGUCUUCGGAUGCUGACGAGUGGCGAACGGGUGAGUAAUACAUCGGAACGUGCCCGAGAGUGGGGGAUAACGAGGCGAAAGCUUUGCUAAUACCGCAUACGAUCUCAGGAUGAAAGCAGGGGAACGCAAGGCCUUGCGCUCCAGGAGCGGCCGAUGGGAGAUUAGGUAGGUGGUGGGAUAAAAGCUUACCAAGCCGACGAUCUGUAGCUGGUUUGAGAGGACGACCAGCCACACUGGGACUGAGACACGGCCCAGACUCCUACGGGAGGCAGCAGUGGGGAAUUUUGGACAAUGGGCGCAAGCCUGAUCCAGCCAUGCCGCGUGCAGGAUGAAGGCCUUCGGGUUGUAAACUGCUUUUGUACGGAACGAAAAGACUCUGGUUAAUACCUGGGGUCCAUGACGGUACCGUAAGAAUAAGCACCGGCUAACUACGUGCCAGCAGCCGCUGUAAAAC